CACCUGAGCUGGGAUGUUCCUGAACAUGGAGACUGAAGCAUGUCCACAGCCACGCCGGCUCCCUCCAGCCUCUUCUAGCGCCCAGAGCCCCAGGAGAUGCAGAAGCAAGCACCAUGACAAAGCCAGAGGACAUUCAGACCCUCCUAGAACUCACAGUCCAGGGGACAGAGCAUCUGCCUCUGGGGGAACCCCAAUGACUAAGAUAUGGGACAAACCUGGGGGACUCUGUGAGCCCAGAAGAGGGGUACCUUGCCCAGCUGGAACAGAGAUCUAGACAAAUUCCUGAAGGAAGAGAAGACCAAGUUGAGAACUCCAGGGUUGGUCCUCCCCACCGGAAGCUGCUGGAAUCUGCAUGCCCCCUCAUCUGUCCCCAGCACCCACCAGGGUACAUCACAGAGGCUCAAGGAAUGUUUGCUGCAAGAGUGAGUGAUAAAGAGUCCACCAUCUACAAAACACUCUCCCCACAUGUUAUGUUAUUUUGUAUGACCACAUUGUAAAGGCAGGCUGGUUGAGUACUGCUAUAUCCAUUUCACUGAAGGCAAUAAGGAAUGACACCAGCAGACACACUGAGCGUCUCAAUGUCCCAGGCACAGCGCCCAGCACUUUACAAGCAGUUUCCCUUGUAAUCACCUCAACAAAACGAGGAGGUAGGGACCCUCAUUAUUCACUGGGACGAGGCUGAGGCUUGCCGAGGACAACUCGCUAAGGUCACACUGCUAGGACAGGACAGAGCUGGAUUUUAAACCUCAUUCUGUGUGUUGCCAAAGCCACCCUACUGCUAGACCAACCUCCUAAUGGCAUUGCUUUCCCUGUCCCCACCUCUGGACCUUGAGAUCUGAAGGAAGGAAGUGUCGUAUUUGUCCUUGCAUCUCUAGGGCCCAGCAGAGGGCUGGGUACAGGUAGGCACCAAUAAAUGCUGAUGAAAUGGACGGAUUGGUGAGUGGACAGACAGUUGGACAUCUGCCCCAGCUCUGUUGCAAGUGGGGAGUUUCUGCUUUCACGCGAUGCAAUCAGGAGAUGGGAGUUGGGUUUAACUUGGGGCUGAUCUUGUACCUGAGUUGUUCUGUCAUAAAAUAGGAGGGUGUGUCCUCACGGGGACACAGUGAACAACGUGCCUGCCUGCCAGGGCAUCAGAUAUGUGUUGCCAAACACUGAAGGCAAAAUGAAAUGUCCUAGGAGAGCAAACAGCCACCUCCUUCCUGUGCCAGGCAAGCAGGAUCAUUUUGCUCCAUGUACAUGUGUGUUCCUCUCCCUGAUGAUGGCCUUGGGAGAUAAUGUGCCCUGCAUGUGUCCCAGGGUGGGGAGAGCAGCUGCUGUGACUGUGGGUGGGUGCUCUAGGAAGCCAUGUGUCUGAGCUGGGUGGGCUCAGUCCCUUUCUAGGCCGCGAGAGAUUGGAGGGAAGCAGGAUCCUACGUUCUGGGGCCUGCUGGGGUCAGGGCUUGCCUCUCCUCCCAGCUCUGGGCAGAGCCUCAGUGUCUGCCCAGCAGACUCUGACCCACUGAUGUUGGAAUUGGAAUUAGUCAUUCUCUUCUAUGCUCUGCACGUUGGGCCCACAUGGCUGGACAUGGAACUUAGUUCUUGAUCUAUACCCGAGGUCUAAGUGCAAAACACAGGGCACCAAUUUCCACUUAUAUCUUAUCUGGCUUCCUCACCAGGGCCCUCAGCUUUGCUGAUGCAACCUUCUUUGGGUUCCAAGGUGGACAGAAACAAAUUUGAGAGUAGCUAACAUUUAUUGAGCAUUUGCUCUGUUAAAUGAGUUUCUCACAUAGGCUGUUGAUACCUCAAAGUGGCCAACAGCAUGGAUAUUCGAAGUAGCAAGUCUUGAGUUUUCAUUCUGACCCUUCUGCUGGUAACUGUGUGGGGAUGAGCAAGUCACUCCACCUGUCUGAGCUCUGUCUCCUUGCCUGCAGAAUGUUCGCACUGGUAAGAGUCUGUACCUCACAAGUGGUUGGGGAGUUUCAUGGAGACCUUGAAUACAUGUGCUUUUGCACAAGACCCAGCACACUGGAAAGGUGUGGUGAAGAGAGAGAAAAAGCACUGAGGGGGGCUGUGUGUAGGCCCUGGGGAAGGGGAUCAGCUGGGUCCCCACUCUGUGCUGGUGGUGGUUCUGCUUAGAACUGCAGGGCAAGGCAAGACCCUUCCCUGGAAGGACGGUGGUCCAAACUCUGUCCCAUGUGGCUGUACCAGAGAUACAUUUAGGCUUCUCUGAGCAAGAGCUCAGGCCAGGGCCUGGGAGAUGGAGCUGCCUGAGGGGAAGGGCUGGUGCUGGGGCAGGCAGAGGAGAAAAGAGACCCUGCAGCCUGGCUUCCUGGGGCUCUAGAGGGUCCCAACACCUGCUUUCCAUGCUUAGGUAUGAAUCCUGCCUGUUCCCAGGCAGGCUCUCUGCAGUUCUCUGGGCUGCUUCCGUAAACCGGGUGACUUGCCACAAAGCAGGUGACACUUAGUUCCUUCCCCACCGGUAUUCCAAAGGCCACGGGUGACUCUCAUCCUCUCACUGAAUGUCCUAGUGAAUUUUCUUUUCAAGAAAAAUGUUUGUUGAAUGAAUUAAUGAGAUGGGAGAAUGCUGUGGUUGCCUGGGAAAGAGACUGCUUGAAACAGGCUCAUCCACCCCUGUGGGGCAGGGCGUGCAGUCAGUCCCACUGGGUGUGCGCGUGGCCUGUGUGUGUGUGUGUGUGUGUGUGCAUGUGGGUGCACGUGGUGGAGGGGAAGAAUGGGGCGGCUACACCCCCCCAGCCACCCGCCACCCCCAGAGCCUAAGGUUUCCCAGGCGGGGUCUCAGUCUCUGGCGUUCACCCUCGCGGCUGCCGGGCUGGGGGCUGUCAGUCUGGGGCUGUUUUCCUGGGAGGGGCACCAGUCCUCACUGGGGGAUUUGUACCAGCAGCUAAGCAGAUAAUUGCUUGUCAGAUUGAUUGAAGGCUUUUCAAAAUGUCUUUUCCUUGAAACGUCCCCCAUCCCCCCCAAUGAGCAGAUUAUUUGAGUUGGAACCAUUUCCCCCUCAGCUUUUCUCCCUCCUUUCUCAAAGUAGUAAUUACCACCCCAGUAGCCCUCCACGGCGUUUCCUGUCAUUUGGAGGCCGAAGCCAGCGGCUGUUUCCUCCGCAGGGUGAACGACAAGCUGGCCAAUUAGGGAAAGCCCACCCCCAGCUGGGCCCCAGGGGCUCCCGCGGGCCUAGCUGCCCCCUGUGGGAAUGGUGGGUGGGAAGGAGCCGGAUGGCCGAGCAGCUGAGACAGCCCGGCCCUCUUCCAGAUCCCGGGGCUCCCCUCAUCCUCCGAAUCCCUAGUUCCUGUGCGUGUGCGUGCGCGCAUGUGGGCGGCUGUGGAUGCACACCUGCCAAUGUACAUGUGCACUUGCGGACAUGGGCUCUUUGACCCCAGUGAAGCCUUGUAACCGGGUCUCCAGCAGUGGUUCUUCCCAGGGAGCUCAGCCUCAAUCACUUCUUCAGGUCUGAAGAAUCUGCAGAGCGUCUGCCAUUUUAAGUGGGCUGGUGGCAGGCAGGAUGGGCAGCCGUGCGCUAAAGCAAGGACAGGCACUUGCUAAUCGCCAACUUCAGGUGGUGUGUUUACCGGUGCUCAUGGCACAAUUCUCUCCAUUUUUUAAUAUUUCCAGGUAUUUCCAAACUGUUCAAAAUAAAGUGUGGGUAGAAAGUUUGAAAGGCUGCUCUACCCACCCCUCUCCCACCCAGGAUUCAUAAUGGCCAGUCGCCUUGCACUUUGUUCUGGCGCUGGUCCUCCUCCUGUUUCUCCUCUUUCCCCAUCUUUUCCUCCUCCCUCUGGCUUCCCCUUCAGUUACAGAAGCCACAACUGAGCAGGACACAGCCCAA